UACGUAGGGUGCGAGCGUUAAUCGGAAUUACUGGGCGUAAAGCGUGUGUAGGUGGUUCGUUGUGUCUGUGGUGAAAGCCCCGGGCUUAACCUGGGAAUGGCCAUGGAAACUGGCGAGCUGGAGUCUGGCAGAGGGGGGUGGAAUUCCGCGUGUAGCAGUGAAAUGCGUAGAGAUGCGGAGGAACACCGAUGGCGAAGGCAGCCCCCUGGGCUAAGACUGACGCUGAGGCACGAAGGCCAGGGGAGCAAACGGG
rnacentral:rRNA from 1 species